GGCGACGGUGAAGCGCCUGGGUUGGGAGGGAGCAGCAAGGUAACGCGCAACCCCUGCCUCCCCGGUUCCCAGCCCGCGCCUCGGCCGAGGCGGGUGUGUGUGGGACCCGGGAGCGGGUCUCACCGUGCGUCGCCCACCAACACCUUCCUCCCUCACCAUCCUUACCCAGCCCCAGUCCCGCCCAACCCACCUGGGCAAGACAGCUUGGGUGCGAAGGACAAGAGAUUACGAAGGAAGAGCGAUCGAGCAAGCGGAGAAGAGGGCUCCUCCUGGAGAGAAAGGCCAUCCCGGUGGCAGGCACGUGGGGCUGCGCCGACUGACGAGGCUCUGCAGAGCUUCGGGUCUGGCCAGCCGACGACAGCUUCUAGGACGCUUCCAUUUACACCUCCGGGAGCUCCCUGAACGAUGACCCAGACCCUCGACAAAAGGGAGGACCCUCUCAACCUGGGCGGCGGCUGGGCGUCCUCUGCCCCGUUACGUACCUGGUCUACCUGCCACCGAAGGCGCAGGGGCGCUCCGAUAUACAAGCGGCGCCACCGCUAUGGUCCGAAGUCUGAGUACGAGCCCCCCAGGAAACAGCCGAAGCAACAGCACGGUCCGGGCCCUUGGUUCCAACCUCCCCGACGGCCCUAUUGGGCCGUGUACUCUAACUGGGGGCGCUGGGGAGGGCCCUGGCGCCCACCUCCAGCGGGAUUCUGGAAGCCUCCUGGCCGAGUGCAAGUGAUCCGGGUGUUUGGUCUGCACCCGCUCUGCCUCUGCUGCUGCCCCUGCUGGCGCGGGCCCUGGAACCCCGGCUGGGCGAGACCCCCCGGCAGGAAGAAGCGCUGGGGCCGCAGGGGCCGCGGCCUGCGCCGCCACCCUCGCCGCUCCUUCCCGAGGAGCCCGCCCGUGGAUCUGAGCACGCUGCUACGGCCAGUCAACCUGUACGGGUGGCGGGCCCCCGGCAUGCGGGCGCCGCGGAACACCACCCAGUUCAUCAUGAACCAGAUCUACGAGGACAUGCGGCAGCAAGAGAAGCUGGAGCGCCAGCAGGAGGCGCUGCGGGCGCAGCAGGCCCAGGCGCGCGGCGCGGCCUCCCCCGAGGGCUCCUCCGGGAACGACGCGCCCCCCAGCGGCGGCGCGGAAGACGCGGAGCUGCAGGCAACUUCGUACAGCUUCGUGCGGCUUCCCUCUCGGGUCUUCAGUCCCGACCCCGACAAGGAAAACCAGUCUCCCGCCGCACAGCUCGGGGAGGAGGAGGACGACGACGAGGAGAAAAAGGAGGCGGAGGAGUGUGAGGAGGAGGAGGGUGACGAGGAGUGCGACGGGGAGUGCGACGGGGAGGAGGAGGAGGAGAGCGAGGAGGAGGAGGAGGAGGAGAGCGAGGAGGAGGAGGAGAGCGAGGAGGAGGAGGAGGCCGGAGAUGAAGAGGAGGUCGAAGAGGCUGACUGUGUGGAGGAGGGGGAGGAGGACGAAGAGGAAGAGGAAGAGGAGGACACAGAAGAGGAAGAGGAGGGGGCGGAGGAAGAGGAGCAGAGCGAGGAAGAGGAUCGUUUACCUCUGGAAAUGCCUUUAUCAUUCCUAGUGGGGGCUGAGGAAGAGAGAGAGAACUUUAUAAACUGCACUUACGGAAGCCCCGAACCGAUCAUUCCCGAAGUGCCACAGGAAGCUCUCCUCAGGGUGGAGGACCUGAACUGUUAGACCUCAGCAGAGGGAUGGAGAAUGGGAUGGAACUGAUUUGAGGCUAAAAUGGAUUAGCAACUUAUUAAAAAAAAAAAAAAACCUAAUUAAAAAUGCUAUGGAUCUUCCUCAGAAGAACAUGAAGUUGCUUCUGUGGAACUGGUUAUCUGCCAUGGCCUCAACAACCCAUAAAUCCAUGCAUGAGAGGAUGCCCCAUGGUCAGAAGUCAACUUGUACAUCUAGUUAAAAUCCAAGGUAACUGCAAACAAUGGAACAUAGCUUAGAUUUUGAAGCCAUGUUUUGAAGCCAUGUUCCUGGAUAUAUUCCUUGUCCUAAGUUCAC